rnacentral:rRNA from 1 species
CUACGUGCCAGCAGCCGCGGUAAUACGGAAGGUCCGGGCGUUAUCCGGAUUUAUUGGGUUUAAAGGGAGCGUAGGCCGGAGAUUAAGUGUGUUGUGAAAUGUAGACGCUCAACGUCUGACUUGCAGCGCAUACUGGUUUCCUUGAGUACGCACAACGUUGGCGGAAUUCGUCGUGUAGCGGUGAAAUGCUUAGAUAUGACGAAGAACUCCGAUUGCGAAGGCAGCUGACGGGAGCGCAACUGACGCUUAAGCUCGAAGGUGCGGGUAUCGAACAGGAUUAGAUACCCUGGUAGUCCGCACAGUAAACGAUGGAUGCCCGCUGUUGGUACCUGGUAUCAGCGGCUAAGCGAAAGCAUUAAGCAUCCCACCUGGGGAGUACGCCGGCAACGGUGAAACUCAAAGGAAUUGACGGGGGCCCGCACAAGCGGAGGAACAUGUGGUUUAAUUCGAUGAUACGCGAGGAACCUUACCCGGGCUUGAAUUGCAGACGAACGAUUCAGAGAUGAAGAGG